GACGAACGCUGGCGGCGUGCUUAACACAUGCAAGUCGAACGGAAAGGCCCUUCGGGGUACUCGAGUGGCGAACGGGUGAGUAACACGUGGGUGAUCUGCCCUGCACUUUGGGAUAAGCCUGGGAAACUGGGUCUAAUACCGAAUAUGAUCAUGCUCUUCAUGGGGUGUGGUGGAAAGCUUUUGCGGUGUGGGAUGGGCCUGCGGCCUAUCAGCUUGUUGGUGGGGUAAUGGCCUCCCAAGGCGACGACGGGUAGCCGGCCUGAGAGGGUGACCGGCCACACUGGGACUGAGAUACGGCCCAGACUCCUACGGGAGGCAGCAGUGGGGAAUAUUGCACAAUGGGCGCAAGCCUGAUGCAGCGACGCCGCGUGAGGGAUGACGGCCUUCGGGUUGUAAACCUCUUUCAGCACAGACGAAGCGCGAGUGACGGUAUGUGCAGAAGAAGGACCGGCCAACUACGUGCCAGCAGCCGCCGUAA
rnacentral:rRNA from 1 species